AUGUGUGUGCGUGCCGCAUGUCAGGAAACGAGAGGUAAUGCUAUAGAGGCAGGUGGCCACCGAAGCAUCUUGCUACCCAUUUUGUGUAAUUGUGGUCAUCUCACCUUGACAUUGUGUGUGUGUGCUCUUGUCUUUCUACUAAGGACAAAGAUGUUGGAGCUCUGGUACAGUGGUCAACCCAUGCAGCCUUCCAGAUGCUCACUGCAGAAACCGUCACAGGCGCUUGUACUGUAUAGGGCAAGUUACCUUUUCCAUGGGGAAGAACUACAGUUAGACAAUAUGCCGAGGUACUGUAGUACACUACAGUGUUUUGAACAUUGGAGUUAAAAGGAAGAAAAUUGAUCACCAGAGUCCAGCGUGGACAGAAAAGGUCAGGAGCUCCACUCCUCUCAUCUCAUCCUCCUGGUGGAGGUGCUGUUCCCAUAAUUACAGUGUAAGCAGUGCCUUCUAAGUGCACCUAAAGCAAACAUCAUCAGGCUGACGGCGGUAAUUUUAUAUCAUUACUGAAUAUGACUGGGUAGGGACAUUAGCAAUGGAACAUUAAACUGCCUCAUGCCACUUCCUAAUGGUUUGUAAAACAAUGUAUGAUUCUCUUUUUAUGAUUUAUGCAACUUUCAGGAGACCGGCACAGAAAUGGGGAUGGAAAGAAUGGGAUUCGGUAUAUGCUGAUGAAGAGGAAUUCAAGAUUGAUGAUGAUGAAUCAUGAUGAGUCACUGUAAAAAGUCAGAGACUAGUGCAAUGUGGUGAUAAUAACAACAGCUGUGGUCAUGAAAUGAUUCAGACAUCUGCUCCCCAUUGAAUAUUUUGUUUAUUCUCAUAAUGAGGCAACAGCUUAUUUAGCAUGUUUUAUUAUUACUGAACUAAUCAAUGCAGGGGACUACAGAGUGUGUCCUGGGUCAUGUUCAUCCAGUGUGGCUUACUACGUCAGCCUGGAAAGUUUUGAAAGGUUUGUCCAUUCAUCGAGUCAAGCUUAACAUUUGAUGAGCCUUUGGGCUGCUUUUCACUCCUUUUCAUUUGCUGUGUUUUCAGAACACAGGUUCAUUCCAUGUUAUCUUCAACAUUUUCUGGCUGACCAGUUGGACCAGAUGGUCCUUGAUUGCAUAGCAGUACAAUGCCAGCACUGACUUUGGGAUCAGUCUUAAAGGAAUAUUUUGUGCAAAAUGAAAGUUCUGUGCCAUUUACUCACCCUUAUGUCAUUUCAAAUCUGUAUCUGUAAAACAUUACCUAAUUUUUGUGUUCAGAAAAUAAAUAAAUAAAUUAAUAAAUAAAAAUAAGAACAAUAAUAAGAAAUAUAGAAAUAGGAUGAGCCCAAGCCCCAGAAAUAUAGAAAUAGGAUGAGCCCAAGCCCCAGUGCCACUGCCACCCUGGUGGCUUCAAGAAAAUUGUGCACAGUCGGUGCAUGCAUUUACAGUGUGAAAAAGAUACACACACUGAGAGGGA
rnacentral:lncRNA from 1 species